AACCGCGUGUUUAGUGGGGUCGGUGACUGACUCUUAAUCAGUGGGUUCCGGGUUCAAGUCCCGGGGGGU
rnacentral:tRNA from 1 species